GGAAGAAAGGAUGUUUAAUAAGCAUCUUAAAUGGCUUACAUAAGAUGGGCCAAGCAUAUAAAUGAACACUUAACUGAAAUAAAUUUAAUCUCUAUGAUACUGUCGGAAACAGAUUUUCUAGUUUAUCUUUAGAAUGUGAAAAAACAAAGAUUACAGUUAUUAUUUUCUGCAUCCAAAACAGAUUGUCAGAGAUGCAUCAACCCGCCAAGACUACCAUAAACCUCAAGCAACUUUGUGCUGUUCCAUUAAUUGUGUUCAAGUACAAAGAAACUACUAGCGAUCCUGACAAGAACGUUGGAAGGUACCAUGAUACAGCUCGCAGCAAGCCCGCACAUUAACUGUCAAGUGAGAAGUCAAUCGAGUUCCAGCCACCACAUUAUGCAGAGGCAAAAAUGACUGAGUACACCCCAAAGCUCCCAAUGUCCUGGGACUGGUGAAUGAGAAGCGGCGCGUGUUGGAACGAGUGCCGGAGAUCGGAGGAGUGCGAACGCGGUUAACGGUCGGAGAUGAACGGGAAGUGGAAGCUCUAGCGACGGAAGUGAGUGAUCUGGUGACGGAACCACGCCAAGCCAUAGCUGCUGAAUUCUGUUGAUUUCUUCCAAACACAGCAAAUUGUUGGGUUUAGAUUAGGGUUUAGGGUUAUG
rnacentral:misc_RNA from 1 species